rnacentral:rRNA from 1 species
AUACGGAGGAUCCGAGCGUUAUCCGGAUUUAUUGGGUUUAAAGGGUGCGCAGGCUGAUCGAUAAGUCAGGGGUGAAAAAUUUCAGCUUAACUGGAAUCGUGCCUUUGAUACUGUCGGACUAGAGUGUAACUGACGUGACUGGAAUGUGCCGUGUAGCGGUGAAAUGCUUAGAUAUGUCACAGAACGCCAAUCGUGAAGACAGGUCACGAAGUUACUACUGACGCUCAUGCACGAAAGCGUGGGGAUCAAACAGGAUUAGAUACCCUGGUAGUCCACGCUGUAAACGAUGAUUACUCGUUGUUGGGCAUUUAUGCUCAGUGGCCAAGCGAAAGUGAUAAGUAAUCCACCUGGGGAGUACGAUCGCAAGGUUGAA